rnacentral:rRNA from 1 species
AAGAGACAGCAGUCGCCGCGGUAAUACAGAGGGUGCGAGCGUUAAUCGGAUUUACUGGGCGUAAAGCGUGCGUAGGCGGCUUUUUAAGUCGGAUGUGAAAUCCCUGAGCUUAACUUAGGAAUUGCAUUCGAUACUGGUUAGCUAGAGUGUGGGAGAGGAUGGUAGAAUUCCAGGUGUAGCGGUGAAAUGCGUAGAGAUCUGGAGGAAUACCGAUGGCGAAGGCAGCCAUCUGGCCUAACACUGACGCUGAGGUACGAAAGCAUGGGGAGCAAACAGGAUUAGAUACCCCGGUAGUCCCUGUCUCUUAUAC